rnacentral:rRNA from 2 species
GGAUGAACGCUGGCGGCGUGCUUAACACAUGCAAGUCGAACGGAAAGGCCUCUGCUUGCAGGGGUACUCGAGUGGCGAACGGGUGAGUAACACGUGGGUGAUCUGCCUUGUACUUCGGGAUAAGCCUGGGAAACUGGGUCUAAUACCGGAUAGGACCAAUCUUUAGUGUGGUUGGUGGAAAGUUUUUUCGGUACGAGAUGAGCCCGCGGCCUAUCAGCUUGUUGGUGGGGUAAUGGCCUACCAAGGCGACGACGGGUAGCCGGCCUGAGAGGGUGUACGGCCACAUUGGGACUGAGACACGGCCCAGACUCCUACGGGAGGCAGCAGUGGGGAAUAUUGCACAAUGGGCGGAAGCCUGAUGCAGCGACGCCGCGUGAGGGAUGACGGCCUUCGGGUUGUAAACCUCUUUCGCUAGGGAAGAAGCCUUUUUGGUGACGGUACCUGGAUAAGAAGCACCGGCUAACUACGU